AUACUUACCUGGCAGGGGAGACACCAUGAUCAGGCAGGUGAUUUUCCCAGGGCAAGGCUCAUCCUUUACACUCUGGGUGUGGUGACCCCUGCAAUUCCCCCACAUGUGGGAAACUCAACUGCAAAACAGUAGAGAGAAUAGGGCAGAGGAAGAGAAAUUGUCUGCUCUUUU